CCACAUUUGAGAUCCAGGGGUGGUCCCCAGGAAAGGGGGAGAUUCCAGGUUUCCUGCCCCACCCAAGGGAGAGUGGAGCUGAGCAGAGAGAGCAGAAGCUUCAGAGGAGACUGAGGAAGGAAGGAAGCAGGAUGGAGCCAGAAGGAGACCUGGAGGAGGCGCAUGGAGCCGAGAGACACGUGAAGAAACUGCGCUGGCUUUUUGGUCGUGGACUGGUGACACAGAUGUGGGCGCUUAGAGAUCUGCGGCACAGGAGAUGAUUUCCCCUCGGGUGUGCUGGGCUCCGAGACCGCCCCGCAGCGAGGGAAGGGCGCACGGCGCGGGGGCCAGCCCGGCGCCCAGGAACGUGGCAGGAGGCGGGCCGGGGCCGUGCUGGGCGAGAAACUGCGAACACCAAGCGCCGAAGCUGGAUUGUGAGAACAAACUCGGGCAGCUUCCUGGAACCCCUGUUUCUGGGGCGCCCUGUAACAGAUAAGAAAAGCAGCCUCCGAGCCGGACCCAGAGUCCCGCCCCGGCGCCAAGGUCUCGGCC